rnacentral:rRNA from 2 species
AUUGCCUUAGUAACGGCGAGUGAAGCGGCAACAGCUCAAAUUUGAAAUCUGGCCCCAGGCCCGAGUUGUAAUUUGCAGAGGAUGCUUUUGGCGCGGUGCCUUCCGAGUUCCCUGGAACGGGACGCCAUAGAGGGUGAGAGCCCCGUCUGGUUGGAUACCAAGCCUUUGUAAAGCUCCUUCGACGAGUCGAGUAGUUUGGGAAUGCUGCUCUAAAUGGGAGGUAUAUGUCUUCUAAAGCUAAAUACCGGCCAGAGACCGAUAGCGCACAAGUAGAGUGAUCGAAAGAUGAAAAGCACUUUGGAAAGAGAGUUAAACAGCACGUGAAAUUGUUAAAAGGGAAGCGUUUAUGACCAGACUUGGGCCGGUUAAUCAUCCAGCGUUCUCGCUGGUGCACUUUGCCGGUCCAGGCCAGCAUCAGUUCGCUGCGGGGGAUAAAGGCGUCGGGAAUGUGGCUCCUCUGGAGUGUUAUAGCCCUUCGCGCAAUACCCUGCGGUGGACUGAGGUUCGCGCAUCUGCAAGGAUGCUGGCGUAAUGGUCAUCAACGACCCGUCUUGAAACACGGACCAAGGAGUCGUCUUCGUAUGCGAGUGUUCGGGUGUAAAACCCCUACGCGUAAUGAAAGUGAACGCAGGUGAGAGCUUCGGCGCAUCAUCGACCGAUCCUGAUGUUCUCGGAUGGAUUUGAGUAAGAGCAUACGGGGCCGGACCCGAAAGAAGGUGAACUAUGCCUGUAUAGGGUGAAGCCAGAGGAAACUCUGGUGGAGGCUCGCAGCGGUUCUGACGUGCAAAUCGAUCGUCAAAUAUGGGCAUGGGGGCGAAAGACUAAU